GAGGACGGCCGGUCCGCACUAUGUGCGUGUAUCUGGUUCGGCCUUGGCAUCCUCUUGAGGAACGUAUCUGCGCUUGAUUGCGUGGAGCGGUAUUCAAGACUUUUACUUUGAGGAAAUUAGAGUGUUCACGGCAGGCAAGCGCCUUGAAUACGUUAGCAUGGAAUGAUAAUAUAGGAUCUUGGUUCUAUUUUGUUGGUUUCUAGAGCUAAGGUAAUGAUUAAUAGGGAUAAUUGGGGGCAUUUGUAUUAACGCGUCAGAGGUGGAAUUCUUGGAUUGCGUUACGACAAACUACUGCGAAAGCAUUUGCCAAGGAUGUUUUCAUUGAUCAAGAACGAAAGUAUGGGGAUCGAAGAUGAUUAGAUACCGUCGUAGUCUAUACCAUAAACUAUGCCGACUAGGGAUUGGAGGUCGUUCUUUUUAUGACUCCUUCAGCACCUCAUGAGAAAUCAAAGUCUUUGGGUUCCGGGGGGAGUAUAGUCGCAAGGCUGAAACUUAAAGGAAUUGACGGAAGGGCACCACCAGGAGUGGAGCCUGGCGGCUUAAUUUGACUCAACACGGGGAAACUCACCAGGUCCAGACAUAGUAAGGAUUGACAGAUUGAUAGCUCUUUCUUGAUUCUAUGGGUGGUGGUGCAUGGGCCGUUCUUAGUUGGUGGAGUGAUUUGUCUGGUUUAUUUUCGAUAACGAACGAAAUCUUAACCUGCUAAAUAAGU
rnacentral:rRNA from 1 species